CCCACACGUCCUGAUUGUGGAAUACAUGUGAUACAGCUUUUUAAAUCAUUUGUAGUGUGCUAUGCUUAGUUUAUAGGGUGUUAAAUGUUAAUAAAAUGUGCUUUAUGGUCAUUUUAAUUGGGUAACUGAUGCAUGUGUAAUGUGACUGUGAUCUUACUUACAUAUUGUAUUUUAAUUGUAAAUUCAGGGGCACUUCUGAAAUAUUUUGGAGCUAGAACACCCACUGGCCAAAAUGAGGAGUUAGGUGCUUCCACCAGAGCCACAGACAUGGCCAUGGAGUCUGAUGAGGAGCCAUCUACCUCCUCAGCCACAUGUUCCUCGCAGGAUUUCUCAGAAAUGCCUCGACCAGAAACCCCUCCAAAAAA